rnacentral:rRNA from 1 species
UACGUAGGCAGCGAGCGUUGUUCGGAGUUACUGGGCGUAAAGAGUGUGUAGGCGGUUGGCUUAGUUUGGUGUGAAAUCUCCCGGCUCAACUGGGAGGGUGCGCCGGGAACUGGCUGGCUGGAGUGUGGGAGAGGCUAGCGGAAUUCCUGGUGUAGCGGUGAAAUGCGUAGAUAUCAGGAGGAACACCUGCGGUGUAGACGGCUGGCUGGACCACUACUGACGCUGAGGCACGAAAGCGUGGGGAGCAAACAGG